AGUGAACGCUGGCGGUAGGCCUAACACAUGCAAGUCGAACGGCAGCACAGUAAGAGCUUGCUCUUACGGGUGGCGAGUGGCGGACGGGUGAGGAAUACAUCGGAAUCUACUUUUUCGUGGGGGAUAACGUAGGGAAACUUACGCUAAUACCGCAUACGACCUACGGGUGAAAGCAGGGGAUCUUCGGACCUUGCGCGAUUGAAUGAGCCGAUGUCGGAUUAGCUAGUUGGCGGGGUAAAGGCCCACCAAGGCGACGAUACGUAGCUGGUCUGAGAGGAUGAUCAGCCACACUGGAACUGAGACACGGUCCAGACUCCUACGGGAGGCAGCAGUGGGGAAUCUUGGACAAUGGGCGCAAGCCUGAUCCAGCCAUACCGCGUGGGUGAAGAAGGCCUUCGGGUCGUAAAGCCCUUUUGUUGGGAAAGAAAAGCAGCAGGUUAAUACCCCGAUGUUCUGACGGUACCCAAAGAAUAAGCAACGGCUAACUUCGUG
rnacentral:rRNA from 1 species